UAGUGUGGCCAUACCGGCUCAAUGCCAAAUCUCAUCAGAUCUCGGAAGCAAAGCAAGUCCCGCCUGGUUAGUACUUGGAUGGGAGACCUCUGGGAAUACCUGGUGUCACCGUGU
rnacentral:rRNA from 1 species